rnacentral:tRNA from 1 species
GGUAGUGGCUCAGUGGUAGAGUACUUUCCCAAUAUGCAUGAGGCACUGGGUUCGAUCCCCAGCACCA